rnacentral:lncRNA from 1 species
UCGGGAUGCGAGCCAUAAGUCGGAACACUGUCAACGACUCUCCAGAAUACCUGAAAGAGCUCAAAACACAGACCAAACACUUGAACCUCGCAAUUUGCAAAGGUCCAGUGUGUUACACUUAUCCCAAUCUAAUCUGAACAUUAAAAGAAAAAAAUUGAAAAAAAACACCAACAACGAAUGAAAAUAUAAAGAGAAAAUAAACAGAAAUUGUUGUUUAACGAGAAGGGGAAAGCAAAGAGGAGAUCAAACCGUGUGGCUUUGGAAUUUUCGAUUCAAUGAAGCUGAUAGGGAGAGAAAGAUAUGAUUGAUAGAGAGAUAGAGAUGGAGACCAGUCGGUGAAAAAAAAACUAGAGAGGGUUUCAGGAAAUAAUUUUU